rnacentral:rRNA from 1 species
UACGUAGGCAGCGAGCGUUGUUCGGAAUUACUGGGCGUAAAGAGUGUGUAGGCGGUGCUCCCAGUCUGUUGUGAAAUCUCCCGGCUUAACUGGGAGGGUGCAGCGGAAACUAGAGUGCUAGAGUGCAGUAGAGGCAAGCGGAAUUCCAGGUGUAGCGGUGAAAUGCGUAGAUAUCUGGAAGAACACCGGUGGCGCAAGCGGCUUGCUGGGCUGUAACUGACACUGAGGAACGAAAGCUAGGGUAGCGAAUGGG